CGGUGGAGCAUGUGGUUUAAUUCGAUGAUACGCGAGGAACCUUACCUGGGCUCAAAUGUAUGUUGACGUAUUCUGAAAGGGAUACUUCUUCGGACAAUAUACAAGGUGCUGCAUGGUUGUCGUCAGCUCGUGCCGUGAGGUGUCGGGUUAAGUCCCAUAACGAGCGCAACCCCUAUCAUUAGUUGCCAUCAGGUCAAGCUGGGGACUCUAAUGAAACUGCCUACGCAAGUAGUGAGGAAGGUGGGGAUGACGUCAAAUCAGCACGGCCCUUACGUCCAGGGCUACACACGUGCUACAAUGGCCGAUACAGAGGGCAGCUACCUGGUGACAGGAUGCAAAUCUCCAAAGUCGGUCUCAGUUCGGAUCGGAGUCUGCAACCCGACUCCGUGAAGUUGGAUUCGCUAGUAAUCGCGCAUCAGCCGUGGCGCGGUGAAUACGUUCCCGGGCCUU
rnacentral:rRNA from 1 species